rnacentral:lncRNA from 1 species
UGGGGGUUUUUUUUUUUACUUUUUUUCUUUUUAAUUAACUACUAUUAUUAUUUAUUUAGCUUUCUUUUUCUUUUCCAGCUUCAUUGAUAGAUUCUAGUAAGCUAUGGAUUCCCUAUAAAUAUUCUAUCCAAUUUGUAUAUAUAUUGAAAGUGUUGUGGCUGUUAAUUGUAGUUAUUCCAGUUGUAACUCGAGAAAGAAUUAGUAUGUUUACGUAGUUGGGUUUAAAUUUCAA